rnacentral:rRNA from 1 species
AUUGAACGCUGGCGGCAGGCCUAACACAUGCAAGUCGAACGAGUGGCGGACGGGUGAGUACUGUCUGGGAAACUGCCUGAUGGAGGGGGAUAACUACUGGAAACGGUAGCUAAUACCGCAUACCAUCAGAUGUGCCCAGAUGGGAUUCGUUUGUUGGUGGGGUAACGGCUCACCAAGGCGACGAUCCCUAGCUGGUCUGAGAGGAAGACCACCCACACUGGAACUGAGACACGGUCAAGACUCAUACGGGAGGUAGCAGUGGGGAAUAUUGCAUAAUGGGCGCAAGCCUGAUGCAACCAUGCCGCGUGUAUGAAGAAGGCGUGCGGGUUGUAAUGUACUUUCAGCGGGGAGGCGUUACCCGCAGAAGAAGCACCGGCUAACUCCGGGCCAGCAGCCGCGGUAAUUC